rnacentral:rRNA from 1 species
GCAGAACGCGAAGAACCUUACCUACUCUUGUAUCCUCCUUUUGACUUUCAGAGAUGAUUGUCUUCGGUUCGGCCGGGGGAGGUGACAGGUGCUGCAUGGCUGUCGUCAGCUCGUGUCGUGAGAUGUUGGGUUAAGUCCGCAACGAGCGCAACCCUCCAUCGUAUGUUGCCAUCAGGUAAUGCUGGGCACUCGUGCGAGACCGCCGGUGAUAAGCCGGAGGAAGGUGGGGACGACGUCAAGUCAUCAUGGCCCUUACGAGUAGGGCUACAAACGUGCUACAAUGGUGGUGACAGUGAGCAGCCACUCCGCAAGGAGGAGCUAAUCUCUAAAAGCCAUCUCAGUUCAGAUUGUCCUCUGCAACUCGAGGGCAUGAAGUUGGAAUCGCUAGUAAUCGUGGAUCAGCAUGCCACGGUGAAUA